GACGAACGCUGGCGGCGUGCUUAAUACAUGCAAGUCGAGCGAAUGGAUUAAGAGCUUGCUCUUAUGAAGUUAGCGGCGGACGGGUGAGUAACACGUGGGUAACCUGCCCAUAAGACUGGGAUAACUCCGGGAAACCGGGGCUAAUACCGGAUAACAUUUUGAACCGCAUGGUUCGAAAUUGAAAGGCGGCUUCGGCUGUCACUUAUGGAUGGACCCGCGUUGCAUUAGCUAGUUGGUGAGGUAACGGCUCACCAAGGCAACGAUGCGUAGCCGACCUGAGAGGGUGAUCGGCCACACUGGGACUGAGACACGGCCCAGACUCCUACGGGAGGCAGCAGGAGGGAAUCUUCCGCAAUGGACGAAAGUCUGACGGAGCAACGCCGCGUGAGUGAUGAAGGCUUUCGGGUCGUAAAACUCUGUUGUUAGGGAAGAACAAGUGCUAGUUGAAUAAGCUGGCACCUUGACGGUACCUAACCAGAAAGCCACGGCUAACUACGUGCCAGCAGCCGCGGUAA
rnacentral:rRNA from 1 species